UACGUAGGGUGCGAGCGUUGUCCGGAAUUAUUGGGCGUAAAGAGCUCGUAGGCGGUGUGUCACGUCGAUCGUGAAAACUUACAGCUUAACUGUGAGCGUGCGGUCGAUACGGGCAUCACUGGAGUUCGGCAGGGGAGACUGGAAUUCCUGGUGUAGCGGUGAAAUGCGCAGAUAUCAGGAGGAACACCGGUGGCGAAGGCGGGAUCCUGGGCCAGUACUGACGCUGAGGAGCGAAAGCGUGGGGAGCAAACAGG
rnacentral:rRNA from 1 species